AACGAACGCUGGCGGCAUGCCUAACACAUGCAAGUCGAACGAGACCUUCGGGUCUAGUGGCGCACGGGUGCGUAACGCGUGGGAACCUGCCUUUAGGUUCGGAAUAACUCAGAGAAAUUUGAGCUAAUACCGGAUAAUGUCUUCGGACCAAAGAUUUAUCGCCUUUAGAUGGGGCCCCGCGUUGGAUUAGCUAGUUGGUGGGGUAAAGGCCUACCAAGGCGACGAUCCAUAGCUGGUCUGAGAGGAUGAUCAGCCACACUGGGACUGAGACACGGCCCAGACUCCUACGGGAGGCAGCAGUGGGGAAUAU
rnacentral:rRNA from 1 species